GACGAACGCUGGCGGCGUGCUUAACACAUGCAAGUCGAACGGAAAGGCCCUGCUUUUGUGGGGUGCUCGAGUGGCGAACGGGUGAGUAACACGUGAGUAACCUGCCCUUGACUUUGGGAUAACUUCAGGAAACUGGGGCUAAUACCGGAUAGGAGCUCCUGCUGCAUGGUGGGGGUUGGAAAGUUUCGGCGGUUGGGGAUGGACUCGCGGCUUAUCAGCUUGUUGGUGGGGUAGUGGCUUACCAAGGCUUUGACGGGUAGCCGGCCUGAGAGGGUGACCGGCCACAUUGGGACUGAGAUACGGCCCAGACUCCUACGGGAGGCAGCAGUGGGGAAUAUUGCACAAUGGGCGGAAGCAUGAUGCAGCAACGCCGCGUGCGGGAUGACGGCCUUCGGGUUGUAAACCGCUUUCGCCUGUGACGAAGCGUGAGUGACGGUAAUGGGUAAAGAAGCACCGGCUAACUACGUGC
rnacentral:rRNA from 1 species